UAUAGAAAUCGAAUUAUAAUAGUGGGGUUCCAUUUAAAGGGAGACCUACAGUUGUACAUUUACUAUAUUUACACUUGAACAGUUUUUGCAAAAUUUAAAUUAAGUGAAUACUAUACAUAGAUACAGUGUACAGGUAUUUAUGCAUUGAAAUAAUGCAAGAACCAACUUAACAAAUCUAUGAGCAUUUCUUAAAAAAAUCUAAUUCCUUUUCAAUAUUCAAAUCAGGGCAUGAUAGUUACCUACGAAGAAUGUUUUACGAAAAUUUUGUGUCAGUUGUGUUUUGAUAUGAGGAAAGGAGGGAAUUUUUUAUUGAGUGAUUUUUAAUGUAAGCACAAUUGCAUUUUCGCUACAAGUUUUUGCAUUGGGUUUUAGAGUGGGUGAUGCUUUUUGAUGAUGAUUGCAGCAUCACAAUGGUUUUAAGUUAGUAAGCAUUAAAAAAAAAUAACAGAAAGAUUUGUGAAAGAAAUAGCAUGAUUAAGCAAUUCUAUUUAAUUUAUUUCAUUAUUUGUUCUGUGACUGAGAUCUAGGCAAUAUGCCCUGUAGUCUGGUCAAUUUGUUUGCACCCAGAGGAAACAAAAUCUCCGCAAAGACAUUGGUUUGUCGAUCGAGGCAUAAAGUGUUGCACAUCCAUGACAUCACUUUGCUGACAUCAUGAUGUUCUGUUCAGUAGUACUUUCUCAUUGUACCACACUACUGUACACUCAUUAUAAGUAACUUUAGUUUCUGGUAUUAUAUAUGAAUGUGAGAAUUCUCCAUUCAGCCUAGUUUUAUUUAAUACAACAGGAUACAAAUGCAUGACAUCAAAUCAUGUUUUGUUAUCCUUCUUAGAUUUCGAGACGUAUUUCAAAAUCAUGAACUGUAUUUUUGAAUACAUCUCCACAUGGAAAUAAAUGUGUUUUGUUAAGUGCUCUUUGACCUGUUGCUUAAAAAUAUUAUGGUCAUGUGUCUAUUUGUGGACUUUAGUCUAAUAUAAAACCAAUAUGCCAAUUUUUAUGUAAAAUUUAUUAGAUAGUAAUAUUGAAUUGUGACUUAUUAUUUCAAUUAGAUUUCAGAUUGGAUUUAAAAGUUGUUGAUGAUAGGGGAUGAAGAAUUGAGAUGAUGAUGUGUCAGUGAUGAUGUCAUGAUAACUUAGUUAUAAGUUCUGGUCAUUUUGUUGCUAUUUCACUUAUGCAUGUUAUUUAUACUGAUUAUGAUUUUUAAUAAAUUUCAAUGAGU
rnacentral:sRNA from 1 species